CUGAAGGGUGGCAGGACAGAAACCUCCAUCUACAGUCACCAUCUACGCAGGCCUCUCCUUCCCACUCUUCACGACAGGCAUCGUGUCCUCGCCUGAACGUGAAGCAAGUGCCCACUCAGAGAUGUUCUGUGACCUGCCAGGCUCCCCGAGAGCUGGUGCCCCUACACACGGCGUACCGACACGUGUGAGAGCAAACACGCAUCGCACGCAAACACACAUCUUUUAAGAGGACACAGCUCCUAGCAGACGCCACGCCGGAGGCCUCGACGAGGCUGUGAGCCCCGCACUGCAGGAGACGACGAUGCAAGGGUUCCCAUCGCUCCUCACCCCUGCUCAAGGUCACAGUCACAACCCUCCACCCUGCGGUGCUAGGGGCGGAGCCCGGCUGCUGUGGGACUGCGCGUGCCAAGAAGGUAGCUUUCUCCUUCUCUACACGUCCCCAAGCUGGUUGAUGGCGUCCCUGGUGUGGACUGUCGUCCCUGGUGUGGACUGUCCCCGUGGGAUGGCGUCCCUGGAGUGGACUGUCCUCCAUGGGAUGGCGUCCCUGGAGUAGACGGUCCCCGUGGGACACUCCCCAGCUACCCUGGCCGUCUUCCUGUGCCUUUCCGCACCACCCUUCUGCCCGGCACAGGGGCUGGUUCCUUCUGAGAGGUGCGUGCACACACUCCAGAUGGAGUGCAGAGCUGUGCAUCAGGGAACCGAUGACGGCGGUGACACCCGGGUCCCAACCCCCGGAGGAGAGAAGGCCUCCCCACCAGCGCCUGGCACCUACCUGACACUCCGCAUCGCAGUAGAACGCCUGCUUGCAUCGCCCGCAUUUCGACAGUCCUUCUUUCCUUAAAAACACAAAAGGGAAUCGAAGCGGUGAGACGCAGACCCAUUUGGUCAGACGGUAACAGACGCCAUCUAGACUCUCAGGCAAGGCUCACCUUCCCUGACCCCCCACAGACGCAUCUUUCCCAAGGCCCCUGAAGAACAGUCACCAACGCUCACCAUGGCUGUCAAAGACACCAAAGGCACACACUCUGGCGCAGCAACCACAGUCCAAGCCCUGACCCCAAAAUUGUAUUCAGCAGUCCGCAAAUGUCAAACUCCCGUCUGCCCUCGUUUCCUGGUGUUUACUCAGAAUCUUCAGAAAUCAACGAA